AAGACUAGAACUGCCACCUCCUGUUUACAAUGGGCUGGAGUAGUCACAGAAUUGUCAGGGCUACUUUCUGUCUCGGUGUGAUUGGAAAUAAGACUGAAAACGGUACCUUAGCAUGAAGAUGUGCACAAGCUUCUAAAGUUGAAUUUUCAAGAGACAAAAGAAACACAAAGAAGAAACAUGAGUACUCAACAUGUUCUUAUAUCACCAGCUAAGUGGGCUUUGAUGUAUGCUGAGAUCAGAGAGCAAGAUGUAUGCUGCAUCAUGGGACCAAGGAUCUUAUGUGGAUAUUUGGUAUCUAUAAUAUACCAUCUGUAUGUGAUUUAAGUCACUCUCAAAGGUGCAACCCUUUUGCUUACUUAUUCUGUGGUUUUUUUACUAAAAGGCUGACUUGUAUGUGCAAGCAUCAGUUUGUGGACUCAGUGGUGACUUAAGGACUAUUGCCUAGAGACUCCUUAGAGGUUUUGCAGUCUGUACAGGAGCCCUUUUUCCUUCAUGAUCUUCUACAUCCAACUAGAACUGCUUACAUUUUUAGUUCCAGAAGUUUCUGCUUUGGUGCUGUUGGUGACUGUGCAUCUGUCACCAUUAUGCAUACUGGUGUGUAAUAUUUAAAGGGAUUAAACUUUGACAAUACUGUUUCCUUAGGUCUCAUAACACUGUAUGUAAAAUAAAGGAGUAUAAACUA